rfam:Triticum aestivum genome assembly, contig: Triticum_aestivum_CS42_TGACv1_scaffold_394050_5AS
GUCCCUUCGGGGUCAGUCGAUAAAAUUGGAACGAUACAGGUUAGCAUGGCCUCUGCGGAAGGAUGACACGCACAAACUGAGAAAUGGUUCAAUUUUUU